rnacentral:tRNA from 1 species
GGGCCCGUAGCCUAGCACGGAUCAGGGCAUCAGCCUGCGGAGCUGAGGGUCGCCGGUUCGAAUCCGGCCGGGCCCG